rnacentral:rRNA from 1 species
ACUCCUACGGGAGGCAGCAGUGGGGAAUAUUGCACAAUGGGCGCAAGCCUGAUGCAGCAACGCCGUGUGAGUGAAGAAGGUUUUCGGAUCGUAAAACUCUGUCCUAAGGGAAGAAACAAAUGACGGUACCUUAGGAGGAAGCCCCGGCUAACUACGUGCCAGCAGCCGCGGUAAUACGUAGGGGCAAGCGUUAUCCGGAAUCACUGGGCGUAAAGGGUGCGUAGGCGGCUUAGCAAGCCAGGGGUGAAAGGCAUUGGCUCAACCAAUGUAAGCCUUUGGAACUGUUAAGCUUGAGUGCAGGAGAGGUAAGUGGAAUUCCUAGUGUAGAGGUGAAAUUCGUAGAUAUUAGGAGGAACACCAGUGGCGAAGGCGACUUACUGGACUGUAACUGACGCUGAUGCACGAAAGCGUGGGUAGCGAACAGGAUUAGAUACCCUGGUAGCACAGAG